rnacentral:rRNA from 1 species
AGAGUUUGAUCCUGGCUCAGGAUGAACGCUAGCUACAGGCUUAACACAUGCAAGUCGAGGGGCAGCAUGGUCUUAGCUUGCUAAGGCCGAUGGCGACCGGCGCACGGGUGAGUAACGCGUAUCCAACCUGCCUUACACUCUUGGACAGCCUUCUGAAAGGGAGAUUAAUACAAGAUGUUAUCAUGAGUAAGCAUUUUCGCAUGAUUAAAGGUUUACCGGUGUAAGAUGGGGAUGCGUUCCAUUAGAUAGUAGGCGGGGUAACGGCCCACCUAGUCUUCGAUGGAUAGGGGUUCUGGAGAGGAAGGGUCCCCCACAUUGGAACUGAGACACGGUCCAAACUCCUACGGAGGCA